GAUGAACGCUGGCGGCGUGCUUAACACAUGCAAGUCGAACGAAGCAUUUAAGACAGAUUACUUCGGUUUGAAGUCUUUUAUGACUGAGUGGCGGACGGGUGAGUAACGCGUGGGUAACCUGCCUCAUACAGGGGGAUAGCAGCUGGAAACGGCUGGUAAUACCGCAUAAGCGCACAGUACCACAUGGUACAGUGUGAAAAACUCCGGUGGUAUGAGAUGGACCCGCGUCUGAUUAGCUUGUUGGCGGGGUAACGGCCCACCAAGGCGACGAUCAGUAGCCGAACUGAGAGGGUGACCGGCCACAUUGGGACUGAGACACGGCCCAGACUCCUACGGGAGGCAGCAGUGGGGAAUAUUGCACAAUGGAGGAAACUCUGAUGCAGCGACGCCGCGUGAGUGAAGAAGUAGUUCGCUAUGUAAAGCUCUAUCAGCAGGGAAGAUAGUGACGGUACCUGACGAAGAAGCUCCGGCUAAAUACGUG
rnacentral:rRNA from 1 species